rnacentral:rRNA from 1 species
UACGUAGGUACCGAGCGUUAUCCGGAUUUACUGGGCGUAAAGCGCGUUCAGGCGGUUUGGCAAGUCGGGCAUGAAAUCUCUCGGCUCAACCGGGAGAGGUUGUCCGAUACUGCUGGACUUGAGGGCAGUAGAGGGUGGUGGAAUUCCGGGUGUAGUGGUGAAAUGCGUAGAUAUCCGGAGGAACACCAGUGGCGAAAGCGGCCACCUGGACUGCACCUGACGCUGACACGCGAAAGCUAGGGGAGCGAACGGG